rnacentral:rRNA from 1 species
UUGACGGGGCCCGCACAAGCGGUGGAGCAUGUUGGUUUAAUUCGAAGCAACGCGAAGACCUUACCAGGUCUUGACAUCCCGAUGCUAUUUCUAGAGAUAGAAAGUUACUUCGGUACAUCGGUGACAGGUGGUGCAUGGUUGUCGUCAGCUCGUGUCGUGAGAUGUUGGGUUAAGUCCCGCAACGAGCGCAACCCCUAUUGUUAGUUGCCAUCAUUCAGUUGGGCACUCUAGCGAGACUGCCGGUAAUAAACCGGAGGAAGUGGGGAUGACGUCAAAUCAUCAUGCCCCUUAUGACCUGGGCUACACACGUGCUACAAUGGUUGGUACAACGAGUUGCGAGUCGGUGACGGCGAGCUAAUCUCUUAAAGCCAAUCUCAGUUCGGAUUGUAGGCUGCAACUCGCCUACAUGAAGUCGGAAUCGCUAGUAAUCGCGGAUCAGCACGCCGCGGUGAAUACGUUCCCGGGCCUU